CAGGGAAUAUUGCACAAUGGGCGAAAGCCUGAUGCAGCGACGCCGCAUGGGGGAUGAAUGCCUUCGGGUUGUAAACCCCUUUCAGGAGGGACGAGGCGAAAGUGACGGUACCUCCAGAAGAAGCCCCGGCCAACUACGUGCCAGCAGCCGCGGUAAUACGUAGGGGGCGAACGUUGUCCGGAUUUAUUGGGCGUAAAGAGCUCGUAGGCGGCUCAGCAAGUCGGCGGUGAAAGUCCGGGGCUCAACCCCGGGAUGCCCGUCGAAACUGCUGUGGCUAGGGUCCGGUAGAGGAGAGUGGAAUUCCCGGUGUAGCGGUGAAAUGCGCAGAUAUCGGGAGGAACACCAGUAGCGAAGGCGGCUCUCUGGGCCGGUACCGACGCUGAGGAGCGAAAGCUAGGGGAGCAA
rnacentral:rRNA from 1 species